GGGGAUUUGGCGCAGUGGUAGCGCGUCCGCUUUGCAUGCGGAAGGCCGGGGGAUCGAAACCCCCAAUCUCCA
rnacentral:tRNA from 4 species